AUGGAUAAGUUGAUGUUGCUCCUGGGGCUGCUUGGCAGCCUCCAGGUAACGUCCGGGGCCCAUAUUCCCCUACUCCGAACCACCAACUCCACACCACCCUAUGUGUAUUGGACAGUCAUCCCAGGGUUUCCCCAUGCGGCACCAGCGACAUGGGUGGGUGACCCGGUGCCCCUGAGGUUGGCGGGAUCAGGCUCCCUGGUCCUGGGCGGCCAUAGCAGCCUUGGCCCAGUGGUCGCCAGGGUACUUAAUAAGACAGUUACCUGGGAAUCAAAGCAUCUCCCCAUAUGCCUGACCAAGGCUGUCUCCGACCCGUGGUGUGCCCAGGUACAGAACAUGACGAUCAGAGAGACGCCACACGGGCCCCACUCCAACCUUGGUCAGGGGGAUUUCUUACAUAUGUGGGCCAUUGCAGCUAAGAAUAGAUCGGCAGCUUUCCAGCGCUUGCUGCAGGCUGCUGGGAGCAAUUGCUCUGGGUCCAAUAAGUCCAGGCCGGAUGUCCCAUGCAACAGGAAGGACUGGCUUAAUGCCACCGGCUCACUCUUUGAGAACAGUGACCCUCCAUCCUCCCCAUUACCCCCUUGUCAUCCCACUCCUAACAUGUUUGAUGUUAUGCAAGUAUGUUCUACAGGGCAUCUGGUGUGGGGACCCGAGUUUAACACAACAUCGAAAACUGAGGUGUACUUCAUGGAUGGAUUCCCCGGACCCUACUUUCCUGCCCCCGUACCACACGUGCUGCAUAACGCCACCCUGCAGACGCAACUCCACCUGUGGAAGGCCGCCGCUGCUUUCGGAGAGGUCAUCCACAUGACGGACAAUUCCGCCCCUUUAGCGGAUAAUGCCACGAUCAACCGAGCGUGGUUUGACCGCCUCUUUAAAGAAGGAUACACGUGCACCGAACACCUUCACAAGGGACACUGCAACAACUUCACAAUUCAUACACAAACUGUCCGAAAUAUGGACACGUUCCUCCUCUGUGAGAAUGCCACCAUAACUAACACCUCCCUUGGGCUUAACGUGACUUGCCCAAAUCGGGGGAAGCUCACCAACACACUCAUGUCCAUCAACAUAACUAAUGAGACCCGGGUGUUCGUGCUCACGACACCCCCUCUGACCUUCUUGCCGGUAGGAACGGACAAGCCUUUUGCCGACUCGGAUUUCUUUCGGGCUGUCCUGAACCGGGGUAAGAGGGGCUUUGAAGUGACUGCUGUGGACUUCAUUGGGCUAGUGGCCAGUCUGAUAGAACAAGUGGAGAUUAGCACCCUCUACAAGCGAGUAGGCCUAGUCGAAGAUAAUCUUAGGGAUUUUAUGCAGCUCACAACCAAGGCCUGGAUUGCCCAACAAGACAUUAAUAAAUUGGUGACCAUAGAAUUGUCGGCCCUUACAUCGGCCGUGCAAGCCUUAGCCACCCUCAUACAGGUUAACUCCGUGCUAGAGGGCCUCCCUUGCCAUCAUGUACUACCCAGGCCAAUGUGCAUGACGGCCGCCGUGCACAACGCAUCCAGGGAGCUGGAUGAGGCAAUCCGGACCUUGAAUGAGCAUAGCAAUAUGUCUGACUAUCUCAGACGCCUAGAAGAUAUAGUACUACAGAUAAAGAAUGAGACAGACCAAUAUAAGCAGCAGAUACAAAAGGACCAUGGCAUUCUCCCCGAGUGGUUUAACCAGCUUGAAUUGUCUAAUUGGCUUAAUUAUGUACUGAGUAUGGGAAGCAUGGUUUUCUUUCUCUUGGUCAUGUGUAUAUGCCUCCCCUGCUUGCUAUCUUACGUGGUACGGCUUUGGCGUAUGGUCUUAGAGCAAGUAAAAGCGGAUAUAUUCCUGCGUAAACAAAAAGGGGGAGUUGUUAGGGGCGGUCGGCCCUAG
ensembl:lncRNA